ensembl:misc_RNA
UGACCUCGGCUCCCGUGCUGCCAGGAUCCGACCUCCCCUAGUUGAAAACAGCCUCGUGUUCCCCUGGGCCGAGGGGCAGCUCCAGAGGACUGGCUGAGUGCUCCGCGG